GAUUCGAUUGUACAAUAGAAUUAUUAACCCGCAUAUAGCAUGUAGUAGUGGAUGACAUUCAUACGGAUUAUUAAAGGCCGAGUGAUGGGAACUUACAACAAGAACUGCGAGAGUACUAAAGAAGAAUAGAACAUAUCCAAAUGAACGUGACGCAGAUGCUGUUGCUGCUACUGAAACUUCCAUCGAAGCAGUUUGUACGUCUGGAUGAAUGGGACGCGGAUGCUGGCUUUUUAUUGUUGUGGGAAUCUUUGAUGGUUGUGACACGGGUCAUUUAGAGUUUUAUGGAUCAAGAAUUCUUUGGAUAUUUGAUUAACAAAUGUGGUACACGUUUUGCACUUUAAUGGAAACCACAAUAUCAAGACAUGAAGUGACAUAGCCAACUCCUACAAACACUCGUUCAUGUAUUGAUUGAUGUAACAUUUAUAAGGGUGGAGGGUAUAGUCAAAAACAACUUUGGAUG